CCUACGGGUGGCAGCAGUGAGGAAUAUUGGUCAAUGGGCGCGAGCCUGAACCAGCCAAGUCGCGUGAGGGAAGACGGUCCUAUGGAUUGUAAACCUCUUUUGUCGGGGAGCAAAAGACGCCACGCGUGGCGUUCCGAGAGUACCCGAAGAACAAGCAUCGGCUAACUCCGUGCCAGCAGCGGCGGUAGUACGGAGGAUGCGAGCGUUAUCCGGAUUUAUUGGGUUAAAGGGGUGCGCAGGCGGAAGAUCAAGUCAGCGGUAAAAUUGAGAGGCUCAACCUCUGCGAGCCGUUGAAACUGGUUGUCUUGAGUGAGUGAGAGGUAUGCGGAAUGCGUGGUGUAGCGGUGAAAUGCAUAGAUAUCACGCAGAACUCCGAUUGCGAAGGCAGCAUACCGGCGCUCAACUGACGCUCAUGCACGAAAGUGUGGGUAUCGAACAGGAUUAGAUACCCGUGUAGUC
rnacentral:rRNA from 1 species